UCCUGACUAUGCUAUGCGUAGAUUAGGGCUACACGUCAAUUUAUCAGCACAUUGUUGAUUUUCAUUUUAAGUCAUAAAAUACAAAAGCGACAUCCGUGAAGCUUUGGUGCAGGACUAUCCUGGUAAUAGGUAAAUUGGCUAUAAGCA
rnacentral:sRNA from 12 species